rnacentral:lncRNA from 1 species
AUCCAACUAAUUCGAAUCCGGAUAUCUUCAAUUUUCCAAAUAUCUAGAUUCAUCCCACCCUUAUCAAGCAAUAUGUGUAAAUGACGUCAUAUGUCAGAAACAUACUCUUCUAAUUAUAAUCAAGAUGGUGUUUCAUAUAUCGUUAAUUCGUUAUCAAUAUAUUAAUAUCUAAAUAUUUUUUUGUUCAACCAUUAAUAUCAAAAGGGGAAAUUUCAUGUUUACCACUUUUAUGGUAACACUUUUCAUCUUUACCAUAACUUACUGGACAUUUUCAAAAAUAUUUUCUUCAUUAAGAGGCAAAAGACUCUUAUACCCUUGUUCUCUAUAUAUAUAAUAAAUUAUUAUUUAAAUAAAUUAAAAAAAUUAAAAAAUUAAA